AUUCGUGCUAAGCAAGCAACCCUACCAACUGCGCUCCAUCCCCAACCCCUGGCCUCUUAUAGUUACCCUGAUGUUGGGGAGGGCCUGCCGCUGCCUCACCAAGCCCUCCGGUGAACCCGCUGAUGCAGAGGCCACCUGCCUGAGUCUUGAUCGCAGACUUGAGCUCCUGAUUCUCCCGAAUGAGCCGUACCAGCUUCUUCAGUUCCUCAUUUUCCCGCACCAGCCUCUCUAUCUGAUGCCGAAGCCCCUCGUAACUUUGACUCUUCCUUUGCACCUGAUCUCUGCUCCUUGGGUCCUGGAAUCUUCUGGAGUUUCAUUCUCUCAAGAAUCUAAAAUGAAGACGUGACGGUGAUCCAGCAGCGCUCGCUGUUUCUCUACGACUGGCCAGGGUUACGUUGACUUGGCUUAUCUGGCUGGCCAAGCAAGUAUCCCAUUCCUCCCUCACUGUUCCCUGUAUGUCCCUCCUGAAGCUGUCCACUUGGUAGAAGACAACUCUCUCCCGGGGGAGCAGUGUUCAAGUGAAGAUACACAAGUAGCUGUGUUCCUCUGCUAGGACUUCCAAACAAGACCCGGAGCCAGUCCUCCUCGACGGAUUUCAAGAGCCGGAGGACUGAGUCCUCCUGACACGCCCUUCUCUUAGAGCUUUCUAGAAAGAAUGCCAUGGGAUCUUGGGAGUCAAUGGAGGCUGGUCUUGGAGACCUCCACUGGCUCUGUGGUCAUCUUCUCUCAACACUUUCCAUAGGUCAGGGAGAGGAAGGUAAAGUCCAGUUCCAGACCAGAUUCUUGUGGGCAGAUUCUGGUAGAGUGGAGCUGAGGAAGAGGAGGGUCAGUCUAAGUUGGGUGUUCUAUCUGGACCUCACAAUGGGGGGACCUGCCCCCCUAUCUUUGACACUCUGUGCUGUAAUCUUAAGUCAUUUUGGCCUCAAAGACAAGAGUACCUGAAGACCACACAAGAGUUCUUUUCAUUAUUCCUUCUAACUUUAUGAAAUACAUCUGCUGGAUAUCCCUCUGGCAUAUGACAAUAAGCAUACCAUGGUCUUGUCUUUGAGUUGACGUCAUCUCUGAUGCUUCCAUUCGAUGGGUCAUUUUGGGUAGUCUAGUGUGCGGUGCCCGUGUCUUUGGUCAGAAGCUGGGAUAGACAUUUCUUUGAAGGUGGUUUUGCAGUUGUGGUUAACAUUACACAAUACUGACUUUAGGUAAAGGAGAUUCCCUCCACUCAUAUAAGUGGGUCUGUCUCAUCCAGUCAGCGACAGACUUAUGAGCAAAAGACUGCAUCAUAAAAAAAACCUUAUCACUA
rnacentral:lncRNA from 1 species